AUUCUCAACUCUUGAGAAUAUAUGUCAUCAUCUUAUUAAUUCCUUGGACGAUUCAUGGACACAUACACAACAUGAAUGAAAAUAAUAACCCAAAUUUAUUCAUAAUAUUUUAAAGUCAAAUACAAAUUUAUGUCCUAGAAAGAAUACAUGUGUCAGCCUAGUUGGCUUCUAGGGCAUAUAUCUAACAAUAUGAUGUAUAAGAUAAGAAUGAAAGAAUGUAAAUGUUGAAUGCAUGUAUGUGAUUAAAAGUUAAUCAUAGUACUGGUAUGAAUGUUUAGUUUAGAAUCUUU
rnacentral:lncRNA from 1 species